UGAAAUCGUGAAUGUUGCGUAUGGGGU
rnacentral:sRNA from 1 species